rnacentral:rRNA from 1 species
CCUACGGGUGGCAGCAGUGGGGAAUAUUGCACAAUGGGGGAAACCCUGAUGCAGCGACGCCGCGUGAGUGAAGAAGUAUUUCGGUACGUAAAGCUCUAUCAGCAGGGAAGAAAAUGACGGUACCUGACUAAGAAGCCCCGGCUAACUACGUGCCAGCAGCCGCGGUAAUACGUAGGGGGAAAGCGUUAUCCGGAUUUACUGGGUGUAAAGGGAGCGUAGACGGCAGCGCAAGUCUGGAGUGAAAGCCCAUGGCUUAACCAUGGAACUGCUUUGGAAACUGUGCAGCUAGAGUGCAGGAGAGGUAAGCGGAAUUCCUAGGGUAGCGGUGAAAUGCGUAGAUAUUAGGAGGAACACCAGUGGCGAAGGCGGCUUACUGGACUGUAACUGACGUUGAGGCUCGAAAGCGUGGGGAGCAAACAGGAUUAGAUACCCCAGUAGUC